GAUCCUGGCUCAGAAUGAACGCUGGCGGCGUGCCUCAGGCAUGCAAGUCGAACGAGAAAGUUCCUUCGGGGAUGAGUAUAGUGGCGCACGGGUGAGUAAUACUUAGGUAACGUACCUUUUCGCUGGGGAUAGCUAAGGGAAACUUUAGAUAAUACCGAAUAUAUCCAUUUUUUACUGCGGUUUAAAUGGAGAAAGCCGUAAGGCGCGGAAAGAGCGGCCUGGGUCUCAUUAGUUUGUUGGUGGGGUAAUGGCCUACCAAGACUACGAUGAGUAGCUGGUCUGAGAGGACGAUCAGCCACACUGGAACUGGAACACGGUCCAGACUCCUACGGGAGGCAGCAGUCGGGAAUUUUACACAAUGGGGGGAAAAACCCCCUGAUGUAGCAACGCCGCGUGAGUGAUGAAGGUCUUCGGAUCGUAAAGCUCUUUUAAUAGGGAAGAAAAAAUGACGGUACCUAUAGAAAAGCACCGGCUAACUCCGUGCCAGCCGCGGC
rnacentral:rRNA from 1 species